UGCUGCACAUAUUCUUAGGAGAAUCCUGAGUUCUCUGCUGAGCACAGAGGCACCUAACAGGAAUGCAAAAGAAACUGAUCCACUCACAAAGGACUUUGCUCACUCCUACACUAUAUGGCCAUGAGGUGGGAGUGCAACAUUUCUGUGUUGCUCACCUAUAACAGGACUAUACAGGAAGGUUGUGAAUUGCAACUCCUGUGUCCAAUGCAAUGGAAUAGAUGAAUAUUUGACCUUCAUGACCCUCUAGAGUAGGCUUACCUCCCAUACAGGGAUUUCACGUUUGAGCUAUUAAAUGUAAUAACAAUAUUUUUAAAGUUUCUGCACAGGAUAUGGACCUCCCCUUGAUUUUUACCCCCCCCUUGAACUAUUUCAGAGGGCUACAAAGAAUCAAUCACAUUACUCUGGAUCUGAAGUCAUAUACCAGUAUGUUUCGCAUCUGAUUGAAUGAGCACCCAGGCAGCAGUAAAACUAUUCUGAAAGCUAUCAAAAGGACCGCAACAUCAAUAGAAAUGUCAUGUCAAACACCAGAAUGAAGUUGUAGAAGUUAGAAAACCAAUAAGAUGUCAACCAGCUGCCUAAAAGAGAAAUCUGACCAUAAAAUUCACCGGCAGAGUUAAUGGCUAAGGAAGGAUCUUUGCGUUGUGACAUUGGUGAGAUUUUUAUUGACUGCUGUAUGCCAAUGGAGAGGAAGAUCAGACAGGAUGUAUAAAAGGAUCCUUUCAUAUCAACUACUGAUCCCCGAAGGUAUGGCCAUUGAUCUACGUCUCAUAAUACCUGAAGAGAAACCCCAUGGAAAGCACAACAUUCAACACCAGUAAUAAAUCUUUGCCAGUUAUUAGAAGAUUUAUUUUGUGGCUUAC